rnacentral:rRNA from 1 species
UAGGGAAUAUUGGUAAUGUGCGAAAGCGCGAACCAGCAACGCCGCGUGCACGAUGAAGGCCUUCGGGUCGUACAGUGCUUUUAGAGAGGAUGAGGAAGGACAGUACUUUCUGAAUAAGCCUCGGCUAACUACGUGCCAGCAGCCGCGGUAAAACGUAGGAGGCUAGCGUUAUCCGGAUUUACUGGGCGUAAAGCGCAUGCAGGUGGUUUUGUAAGUUGGAUGUGAAAGCUCCUGGCUUAACUGGGAGAGGUCGUUCAAAACUACAAGACUUGAGAUUGGUAGAGGAAAAUGGAAUUCCGGGUGUAGUGGUGAAAUGCGUAGAUAUCCGGAGGAACACCAGUGGCGAAAGCGGUUUUCUGGACCAAUUCUGACACUCAGAUGCGAAAGCUAAGGUAGCAAACG